rnacentral:lncRNA from 1 species
AUAAUUCAAAACCAAACAAGGAAUGACCUUCAAGCCAUGUUCAACAUAGGAAAUUGCUCCUAUCUGGAUUCAUGGAGGAUGUCUAAGCUUUAGGUCAGAGUCAUAUUUUAUUUCAAGAUUGGUAACUUGACGAUCCCAGCCUCACAUGCAAAUCCAGGCUUUGGCUCUCUAGGCAGCAGAGGAGGAGCUGGUGUCUGAGCUGAGUCCUAACCGGUCGAGAGGUUUUUCCAUCAGACCUGUCUGUGCUUUUCAAACCGUGCUCUUAAAGUCCCACAUUUUCAAGAUGAAGCUGUGGGGUCUUCCAUGAAGCCGGGAAGAAGAAGUU